AAAUUUUAAAGCUAUAUGCAGGUAGUUGUGAAUUAUUAUUGUGUCAGAGGGCACUGUCAAUUUCGCCAGUGUCAUGUGGGAAACAUGAAAAGGGUCAAUGAAUUAAAAAACAAACAAACCACAAAUGCUCGACAUUGUAUUUGGAAACAUUUACAAGAAACAAUUGUAAUCGAAUCUCUUUAACAAGUCUCCCGCACCUCGUGCAGGCUGCCGGGCAAUUGGCAUUAUCCUAUUGACCUGCCAUCCAUUGAGACGUAAUAAAAUUACCAAGAGUUUCCACUCCUUUCUAUUUCUCUAACAGAUUUUAACAAAGCCUUUGAGGACAUUGAUGACGAAGACGAUCACAAUGUUAUUUUGUAAUAUCGAUGAAACAUUUCAUUUUUCUAAACUUCUUUUUAUUUACAUUAUAUACAAUAAAAAUAAUGUCUGGUUAAUGUUGAGGAAAUUAAAAUGGAAUAUAUCCAUUUUUAUCAUAAUUUGUUUAAAUAAAACGAGUAUAACUUUCAUUUUUACUUUGAAUUCGGUCAGAGUGACGCUUCAUUGGAUGGUAGGGGUUUGUGUUAUUAAUAAUAUACAUUUCUUAGCACCGUUAGAACUAAAUUAGACUAGAUUUUAUAAUUUCAAUAUAGGGUUUUCUAUAUACAAAUUUACAAUUAUUUACAAUUUAAAUGCUAAUUUUGAAAUAAAUAUAUUUAAUAUUAGCUAAAAUAAAUAUAAAUAUAAGAUCAAUAAUUAAUAAUUGAAACGAUUACAAUUUUA
rnacentral:misc_RNA from 1 species